UCGCCGGAGGCACCAACCCCCCUUCCCACACCUGCCCCCGGUGUGGCCAACCCCCCGGAGGGCCAACCCCCCUUCCCACACCUGCUGACUCCCCUUGUAGCUCGUUUCCACAGUUUACAGCCCCCUAAAUCUGAUUCCAACUACCUUCAGGAAGUUAACCAGGGAAGCUACCUGUCAAGGUCGUAUGUUACAGUGAGAUAACAUCUACCAGUGGACCUUGAUAGUUGGAGAUUGAGUGAGCAAAACUCUGGAGUCAGACCAGUCUGGGUUCAUACAGUUGGCUCUGUAACUCAUUAGCCGUGUGACCUUGGCGGGCUUAUCAGGCCUCGAGGGACAGACGGAACCGCCCAAAUACCAAUUUAUUUGUAACAGGGAACAAAAGUAGAAGGUGUAAGAAGCAGAGGCCUCCCCUGCGGCUGACCCAGGACGACAGCCCCGGGGUUGGCAAAGGUGGCCAGCGGAGCAGAAACCUAACAGAUCAUCAGAAGAGCCAGGCGCCAGGCAGGAGAGAAGUCCGGAGCAGACGUUACCAGGAGAACCGUGCCCGGCCUCCCUCUACCAGUGUGACCUACGGGGAGGGAGUCAUUGUCACCUGUCCUGUGUUUGCGCCGAUUUGCAUGCUAACGACGGAGAGCUGUUGCAGACCGGUUGGCUGGAUAAUGAACUUGGUCUGGGCGUGUCGUCUCACGGUAACCGAUUCCACAUACGAAUGCGGGUGGGGGGGUUACAGUCGCUGCGGGAGAUGACGCAGUCACUGAGCUCCUCACGCACUUGGAGAGAAGGAGGAUGGAGCAGGGCGCUGAGCACGGAGUACCUUUUCCUACUCAUGUCCCUCUUGCUUCCCAGGAGCUGUUUACUUAAGAGUGGGGCUUUCCUCCACAAUGGAUGUUUCUGGGUAUUUACCUACUUAGCAAGAGAGGAGAGAGGAGAGAGAGAGAAAGAAAGAGAGACAAGACAGAAGCACGACAGGCUAGGUCGGUCUGUCUCCAAGCGGACUACGGAAGCGUCCCGGCCUCUAGCAGCUGGCCACAUGCUACCCGGACAAAUGCAAAAAGGAUUAAAGGGAGAAUGUUGCAAAUCUAUCUGUGUGCAGACGAUACCAAAGCGAGCCUCGUGUGACGGCGGGGAGGGAAACCCCAAGGAAAAAAGCUCGCUGCCUUGAGGGGCAGGGAAGGCUGGACAGCGCGGGGCUCCGUGCUGGGUGCCGUGUAUGGAGACAGGCCAGCAAGGCAGGCCUGCCGGUGGGGCCCGGGGCCCGAAAGGGCACUGUUGUAGACAGCGGGGGCAUUUCAGAUGCAUUUUUUUACCCUGUUUGAGGUGGAGUGAACGAGUGAACCGCCCCUGGCAUUUACCGUAGGAAAUCUUCAGUCAGGGACCUAUUGUGUACUGAGUGCGUGUGGGUAUUGGAGUGCUGAUGCCUCGUGUAGAAAAGAGGCUGGUUUCUCGUUUGGCUUGAUAUCGGGAAAAUCAGGAACAUUCUACU